UACAGAGGUCUCAAGCGUUGUUCGGAUUCAUUGGGCGUAAAGGGUGCGUAGGCGGCGCGGUAAGUCGGGUGUGAAAUCUCGGAGCUUAACUCCGAAACUGCAUUCGAUACUGCCGUGCUUGAGGACUGGAGAGGAGACUGGAAUUUACGGUGUAGCGGUGAAAUGCGUAGAUAUCGUAAGGAAGACCAGUGGCGAAGGUGGGUCUCUGGACAGUUCCUGACGCCGAGGCACGAAGGUCAGGGGAGCAAACGGG
rnacentral:rRNA from 1 species